AUGGUGCUCAUACAGAUCCAAUUUAAAGUCCUUCUCCUCACUCACAAAGCCCUCUAUAACCAGGCCCCCUCCUACCUCACUGACCUGCUCCACUGCCGCACUCUGUCACAAAGCCUCCGCUCUUCUGAUGCCAACCUCCUGUCUCCACCACCCAGGACCAAGCAUCCAAACCAAGCCUUCUCCAUAGCUGCACCCCAACUCAAUCCUCAAACACAUCAGAGACUUGUACGACGACUCAAUCAGUUUGUAUCACUGUGGUACACGUUCGGUGGAGGAACCAGACUGGAGAUUGGAAGUGAUGUCCGUCCCACCCUGACGGUGCUGCCCCCCUCCAGUGAGGAGCUGCAGCAGGGGAAGGCCACGCUCAUGUGCCUGGCCAACAAGGGCUUCCCCUCAGACUGGAGUCUGUCCUGGAAGGUGGACGGCAGCAGCAGCAGCAGCAGCAGCAGCUGGGAGCAGAGCAGGAGCCCCGGGGUGCUGAAGGACGGCCACUACAGCUGGAGCAGCACCCUGAGGCUCUCUGCAGACCAGUGGAGGAAGGUGGGCUCUGUGACCUGUGAGGCCACCCAGGGCUCCCAGACUCCGCUCUCAGAGACACUGAGGAGAGACCAGUGUUCCCAGUCCUGACCUGACUCACUGGGACUCUGCUACUGGUUUUACUCUGCUACUGCUCUCACUGUGCACUCUGUAACUAUCUCUCUCUUUCAUUUGACAUGUUUCAGUCAGAAUAUUUACUAGCUUGUUGCAGUGUUUCAAUAUUAUUUCACUGUUUCCAGAUAAUAAAGACGUGUUCAUCAAA